rnacentral:rRNA from 1 species
GCUACCCCGGGGAUAACAGGCUUAUCUCCCCCAAGAGUUCACAUCGACGGGGAGGUUUGGCACCUCGAUGUCGGCUCAUCGCAUCCUGGGGCUGUAGUCGGUCCCAAGGGUUGGGCUGUUCGCCCAUUAAAGCGGUACGCGAGCUGGGUUCAGAACGUCGUGAGACAGUUCGGUCCCUAUCCGUCGUGGGCGUAGGAAAUUUGAGAGGAGCUGUCCUUAGUACGAGAGGACCGGGAUGGACAUACCUCUGGUGUACCAGUUGUCGUGCCAACGGCAUAGCUGGGUAGCUAUGUAUGGACGGGAUAAGUGCUGAAAGCAUCUAAGCAUGAAGCCCCCCUCAAGAUGAGAUUUCCCAACUUCGGUUAUAAGAUCCCUCGAAGAUGACGAGGUUAAUAGGUUCGAGGUGGAAGCGUGGUGACACGUGGAGCUGACGAAUACUAAUCGAUCGAAGACUUAAUCAA